CGGGGGCUGGUCAGCUCGAGCUAGUUGUACUGAAGGUGAACUUCUCUAGGGAAGCUCUCUAGGAGAGUGGUAGGAAGUGGAACCUGUGUACUUCACUCGUAAUGCUCAAGGAGGAGUAAUGGAAGUAGGGUCUGUUUGGAGAUUCUUUGGGAGUAGGAAGGAAGAGUGACUUUAGCUCAAGAGGUGAGUUGGUUUUGGAUGGUAAGUUAUUGUGAGGGUUAGGUUAAUGAUUGAAUCUCUUGGGCUGAGUCUACAAAUAGAUUCAUUAUUGUUAAAUGAUACAACAAUAAUUGUUAUUUGAUUAUAUGCUAUUGUAUGAAUUAACGAAAAAUUGAAAUAAAACGUGUUAUGAU
rnacentral:lncRNA from 1 species